GGAGAGAUGGCAGAGUGGUCGAAUGCGGCGGUCUUGAAAACCGUUGUGCUCGCGAGGGCACCGGGGGUUCGAAUCCCUCUCUCUCCG
rnacentral:tRNA from 1 species